rnacentral:lncRNA from 1 species
CAGGGCUUUUUUGUUUUGCUUUGUUUGUUUUGUUUUAAAGCUAUGCAGUGAAGAAAUGGAACAAUUAAUGAAUAAUUUCAGUAUGAUUCGCCCCAGAGGUUACUUCAUUGGUUAUGCCCCACUUCUUAAUAUUUUUCUGCCUUACGGAGCUGAGGGAUGUAAACCUGUUCGGGAGAAGUCUAGCAUGCAUGAGCUUCUCACUUCCUUCUGCGUCAAAGGUUUUGCUUUUUCCAGUUUCUUAACGUGUUGUUUAGCUAGUCUUAAAAUUUUUCAAAUACAUCAAAACCAAAUGAACUUCCCAUUUCAUUAAGGAAACAGCAGUGCUAUCAGUACAAGUGUCAUCAGCAAAUGAGAUCAAGAGGAAACAAAAUGAAAAAGCUAUUUUACAAAACAAGUGGUCUCACCCAUGCAACGCAACCAAAUUAAUUGGAACGAUUGAGACAAACCAAAGCAAAGCCUGAAGUGGAACCCACUGCCAUCAUUUCAAGACCUAUUAUUUCAAGUAACCACGUGGGGAACAUGAUGGUGAUUGCGGCCAGUGUGGAGUGGUUGCCUUCUUCCAACAUGGGCAGAGUGCUGCUGAGCCUGCAGGGCUGAGCCAAAGCUGCUACAGAGACUUCCCAGGCGAUGUCUGAUUGGAAAACUUUGAACAUGGUCUCCUAUCAUGAGUUAUUACUGCUCCUGAAUGUACAGCACUUAGGAAUACAAAUGGUGGUCUCUGCAGCACAUUUAAAUGGGCUGUGUGUUGUCUGUCCUUUCUCACGUUGUGGAAUGUGUUCCUAUGGGUUCCUCUGUUGGAGAAGCGUGACAUCAUUUUUCAGACAGAAUCGGUGAGGCUUUAAGUUCAGAUACCCGACAGGUGAACAGCCAGACCUGUAGGUUUUCUUCCCCAAAUCCGCGCGUAAAGGAGAUAACGGGUCUUUAUCUGACUAUGGGAUUUAAUUUUUUUUUCCAUAGAAUCACAGAACUGUGGAAUCUUUGGGGUUAGAAGGGACCUCUGAAGCUCGCCCAGUCCAGCUCACCUGCACUGAACAGCAACAUGCACGGCUAGGCCAGGAAACGUGGUUGAGACUUCACAUCUUCAGGCUUUCUCAAAUGUGAAGAACUUUCUUAAUGCCUAUCGAAAUUUGGGAUUCUUUGUAACCGAAUAAUUCCUGGAGGCUGAGCUGUAAAGAAAACACGGGCUGCUCGAACACAUUCUCCAGAAUUCUAAAAAUGCAAAACAAUUAUUGUUGGCUUCAAAGAGUUACUCAGAGUAAAGAACAGCUUUAUCUACAUCUGAUCUUCAGGGGGGGGGGAAAAAAAAAGCAUAUGGGCCUGGAAACAUCCCAGCCUCUCAGACAGCACUGAUAUUCUCCUAAUGCAGCUACCAGGCCAGGUGUACUUCAGUGUGAGGGCUGUGCGGUGGCCUUCAGCAGUCUUCAGCUGGAGCUGCCAAACCCUCUUGUGUUGUAAUUAAACGGUACAUUUGGAGCAAAAGGAAAAUAUGCAGCAGUUUGUUUAUUCAGAAGGAAAUGCUUGAUA